rnacentral:rRNA from 1 species
UACGAGGGGGGCAAGCGUUGUUCGGAAUUACUGGGCGUAAAGGGUUCGUAGGUGGCCAACUAAGUCAGACGUGAAAUCCCUCAGCUUAACUGGGGAACUGCGUCUGAGACUGGAUGGCUUGAGUGCAGGAGAGGAACGCGGAAUUCCAGGUGUAGCGGUGAAAUGCGCAGAGAUCGGGAGGAACACCCGUAGCGAAGGCGGCACUCUGGGCCGGUACUGACGCUGAGGAGCGAAAGCGUGGGGAGCAAACAGG